CAGUAUCACACAAUUUUGGGAGACGGUUCUCGACGGAAGCGGAGAACCCACCUCAAGACUCUCCGCCCUCUGAUCAUUCUCUGGAGCCUUCGCCGUCCGAUCAGAUGCAGGAUGCCUCACCAAUCGAUCCAUUUCUUCGACCCCAACCGCAGGCUAACCGAUCGCAGUGGGACGAUCUUACUUCCUAUGAUGGAAAAACUGUUUUAUUGAAGGAAUCCCUCAAACUGCAGCUCCAGAAGAUGUAGAACGAGUUUUGUCUGGUUGUGAAUACAAUUUGUCUUCCCUCCAAUAACUUUCAGGUCUUUCCCAGAAUCCUCUAAAUUUGCGACAGUUCGCUGUACUUCUCAAACUGAGGCAAUAUAUGCAUUACUUGCGAAGAACAAAGGCUCCAGCCAGGAUGGUCAGAUUUUGCUGCGCAUUCUCCAGUAAUCCUGGUUUGAGAAUAAGAUUAUGUAUUUUAUGAGACCGUGUUUUGUUUACUGGAUUCAAUUCAACAAUUGAAAUGUUCUUUCCUUUUGUAGCAAUGGGUAUCCCAUUCUUGCUUUUAA